GAAAAUGAGAGUUUGAUCCUGGCUCAGGACGAACGCUGGCGGCGUGCCUAAUACAUGCAAGUCGAGCGAGCUUGCCUAGAUGAUUUUAGUGCUUGCACUAAAUGAAACUAGAUACAAGCGAGCGGCGGACGGGUGAGUAACACGUGGGUAACCUGCCCAAGAGACUGGGAUAACACCUGGAAACAGAUGCUAAUACCGGAUAACAACACUAGACGCAUGUCUAGAGUUUGAAAGAUGGUUCUGCUAUCACUCUUGGAUGGACCUGCGGUGCAUUAGCUAGUUGGUAAGGUAACGGCUUACCAAGGCAAUGAUGCAUAGCCGAGUUGAGAGACUGAUCGGCCACAUUGGGACUGAGACACGGCCCAAACUCCUACGGGAGGCAGCAGUAGGGAAUCUUCCACAAUGGACGAAAGUCUGAUGGAGCAACGCCGCGUGAGUGAAGAAGGGUUUCGGCUCGUAAAGCUCUGUUGGUAGUGAAGAAAGAUAGAGGUAGUAACUGGCCUUUAUUUGACGGUAAUUACUUAGAAAGUCACGGCUAACUACGUGCCAGCAGCCGCGGUAAUACGUAGGUGGCAAGCGUUGUCCGGAUUUAUUGGGCGUAAAGCGAGUGCAGGCGGUUCAAUAAGUCUGAUGUGAAAGCCUUCGGCUCAACCGGAGAAUUGCAUCAGAAACUGUUGAACUUGAGUGCAGAAGAGGAGAGUGGAACUCCAUGUGUAGCGGUGGAAUGCGUAGAUAUAUGGAAGAACACCAGUGGCGAAGGCGGCUCUCUGGUCUGCAACUGACGCUGAGGCUCGAAAGCAUGGGUAGCGAACAGGAUUAGAUACCCUGGUAGUCCAUGCCGUAAACGAUGAGUGCUAAGUGUUGGGAGGUUUCCGCCUCUCAGUGCUGCAGCUAACGCAUUAAGCACUCCGCCUGGGGAGUACGACCGCAAGGUUGAAACUCAAAGGAAUUGACGGGGGCCCGCACAAGCGGUGGAGCAUGUGGUU
rnacentral:rRNA from 1 species